rnacentral:rRNA from 1 species
AGAGUUUGAUCCUGGCUCAGGACGAACGCUGGCGGCGUGCCUAAUACAUGCAAGUCGAACGAACCGCGACUAGGUGCUUGCACUUGGUCAAGGUGAGUGGCGAACGGGUGAGUAACACGUGGGUAACCUACCUCAUAGUGGGGGAUAACAGUCGGAAACGACUGCUAAUACCGCAUAGGACAUGGAAUCACAUGAUUCAGUGAGGAAAGGUGGCGCAAGCUAUCGCUAAGAGAUGGACCCGCGGUGCAUUAGCUAGUUGGUAGGGUAAAGGCCUACCAAGGCCAUGAUGCAUAGCCGACCUGAGAGGGUGAUCGGCCACAUUGGGACUGAGACACGGCCCAAACUCCUACGGGAGGCAGCAGUAGGGAAUCUUCCGCAAUGGACGCAAGUCUGACGGAGCAACGCCGCGUGAGUGAAGAAGGUCUUCGGAUCGUAAAGCUCUGUUGUUAGAGAAGAACAGCGCAUAGAGUAACUGUUAUGCGUGUGACGGUAUCUAACCAGAAAGCCACGGCUAACUACGUGCCAGCAGCCGCGGUAAUACGUAGGUGGCGAGCGUUGUCCGGAUUUAUUGGGCGUAAAGGGAGUGUAGGCGGUCUUUUAAGUCUGAUGUGAAAGCCCACGGCUCAACCGUGGAGGGUCAUUGGAAACUGGGAGACUUGAGUGCAGAAGAGGAGAGCGGAAUUCCAUGUGUAGCGGUGAAAUGCGUAGAUAUAUGGAGGAACACCAGUGGCGAAGGCGGCUCUCUGGUCUGUAACUGACGCUGAGGCUCGAAAGCGUGGGGAGCAAACAGGAUUAGAUACCCUGGUAGUCCACGCCGUAAACGAUGAGUGCUAAGUGUUGGAGGGGUUCCACCCUUCAGUGCUGGAGUUAACGCAAUAAGCACUCCGCCUGGGGAGUACGGCCGCAAGGCUGAAACUCAAAGGAAUUGACGGGGACCCG